rnacentral:lncRNA from 1 species
UGAAAGGAAGAUGAAAAGAAGCAAUUUUGGUGGAAAAAUUGGAACUGUUCGAAUAAGACAAGAAAAAGAAAAGCUAUUGAAUUUAAUUAAGAAAAAAACAUGAUAUGCUGAUAUUAGAAUAUUAUUAUAUUAUGUUUGUGAUUAGUGGGCUAGGAAUUAGAUUAUUCCUUUUGGCCCAUUAAUAGGAGGCUUACGAGUUUAGUUUUUUUUUUUUUUGUUUUUUUAAUAUAUAUUGUUCUUUGGCCAUCAAUUAAGGGGGAUUGUGCAAUAGGAGAUUAGAGCUUUCAUCUUGGCGGCUGAUCCUUGGGGCGAGAAGAAAGAGAGCAUUGAUGGCUG